rnacentral:sRNA from 1 species
GACACAUUGAGCCCAAACGCCAUAGCAUACAGAACCCCUAAAAAACCGUGUUUAAAAAAAAAUCACGAUGGCUAAAAUAAGACCCGGAGGAAAUGCUAUGUGGGAACUGAGUGAGGAACUAAUCCCUGGAAAACAUGCGGAAUUCGCGAGACAUAUGCGUAGGAGCGAAAAAAUUGAUUUACGCACCAUGAAAGGAAAGGUCUUAUGGCUUUACAAUCUCGACCAAACUAAAGAAUAUCGCUCGAGAACCAUACUGAGACGCAUAGAAGAGGAGAGCGGUAUAGCGAUUGGAACAAGGAUUGCUCCAGCCAUGACAAGAAGAUUGAUUGCUGGACAUGGAGACGCUCUCAUCCAAACUGGAAAUGUUGACGCAACGCCUCAAGAACGGGGGGUUUGUUGUUGGCUAAAACGAGGACCUUUCAGAAAAGAAGCUGACUGUACCGCUGCUAUGGAAAAAGAAUCUCUCCAAGCACACAAACGCGGGAAAAUAUUGUUUGGAGAACUGCACUGCCAGCGAAGACAUGGAGCUAGAACAGAGAUACGAUUGGCCCAAGACAUCAUGCAGAACUGCGCGGUGAAGCAGUACUACUACAUCAUCUGCACCGCCAUGCACAAACGAGGCCAUGUAUGCGACCCGCUUCCAGAAUCUUAUUACGAGAAGGACGAACAUCUUUACGAAGUUGUGCGUGAUAGUGCUGCCCGCAGGCACUACUUCGACAUAGAAUGGCUUGCUGAGAAUGAGUUUCAAACUGGACCGUUCUAUACUUUGUUGAAAGCCUUCAAAGAAUUCAUGGAUCUUCCUGCCGAGAAGACUCAAAAAUUUUUUGUGACCAAGGGAUCUCGCUGGAAGAACGAGCAAAGCUACAAGCACAGCUACCACGUAAUCUACAGGGACAUCAUCUUACCCGACAAGGACCAACACGCUCUGAUGAUGAUGAGAUUCAAGGACUUUCUGUCAAAGUCGAUCUACGCCGAAGAGCUUGCUGAGGUUGCCGACUCUUAUAAAAUCCUGACCAAGCGUUCUUACGUGUAUAAAUAUGACGGCGCGGUUUAUACCAAGAACAGAUUGAUGCGACUUCCCAACCAGUGCAAACCUGGAGGGACAGUACCGCUCAUAGUUGAUAAAGACAAAACAACGAUAUUUGAACCAAUUACGAUUUCUGUCAACGCCGUCCUGAAAGAUUGUAUAAAACCCCCUGAGGUCACUCCGGAAGAAGGAAAAAUGAUGAGGGAUUCUCUGUACGGUUUGGCACCGAUUCACCGCGUACACAAAGAAACUAUACUCGAUCCCAUCAGAGAAAAGUUGAGAUUAGCCGUAAAAGAAAAGAAUAAAAAGAAGGAAUCUGAAUUUUACAGCUCAAACUUGACAAAACCGUCAGAGGAUCAAAACAUGGAUUGCGAUACGAUUUACCCUCAGUAUAGCGACUGGAGAGACAUUAAUUUGAUUGAAUUGAGAAAGACGCGAGGAUAUGAUGCGUACAUACAGUUUUUGGGAGCGAUCAUUGAUGUGUUUGAAGUUUUGCGGGAAGAUAUUGUGGAGCAUAUGGGACACAGCAAGAUAGAAAAAGCUCACAGACUCUAUGAUUACAUCAAAGAGACAAACAAAGAUAAAGAAUUGAAAGGAGUUCACUGCAGAUUGUUGAUAAAGUACGGAUUGAUUAGCGAACAUCAGGCUGAGAAUCUGUUGAAGGAUUAUUUCUACACUGCUAAAGAUAAUAUCCCUAGUCUCAUCCCCAAAAACAACGGCUUUGGAGUAAGACCCGAGUUUGUCGAGAGGGUUCAGCUGUGUGACGAUUCUUCUGUGGAGAUCGUGACUGGAGCAAUGGGUGUGGGGAAGACUGAAAAGAUCAUAGACAGGAUUAGUUUUUGCCCUGAAGGGUCUACCGUGAUCUACAUUGUGGGUCGAGUCAGACUGGCUGAUGAAUUGGUGGUGAGACUGAAUCAACGCGGUAUGAUCAAUGCUAGCAGAUUUCAUUACAGCGAGAUUAUGCAAGACAGAAUCAACGUUUUUGUUGCCGUGAUCAACUCCCUGUGCAAGUUUGAAGAUCUCAAGCCUUACUUUGUGGUGGUUGACGAGCAGGAGACUACAUUUUCUAAUCUGAAGAUGGGAAACGUUGACAGGCAGGCGGCGCAGAAUCUAAUCAUGAGAUUUGUGAAAGAAUCUCAUCAAGCCAAGUUCUGCGAUGCCAUGAUGACCAUGCCUUCUAUCGUCUUUGCUCAAGCGAUGGCACGCUACGUUUUGGAGGAUGACAACGCUCUGCGAUUUACGAAGCUGAUCAGGGAAAACGAUGAGAAGAGAAGCCGCGUGAUUUGUCCCCUGUUCAACGAUAUCAUCUCUAUCAACCUCUACAACGAGAAGAUGACUUACUACAGACCAGCAGUGGGAAACAACGGAUUCUUGAUCAGGUUCUUGUUCGAGAUGGGGAUGAACCACAAGGUUGCCGUGGCUGUACCUACCAUACACUGGGCAAACACCAUCCAGAAAUUGGUGCCUCUGAACAAGAACGUUGUUAGAAUUGAUGGAAAAACAAAGAAGAAAAAUAGGA